GACGAACGCUGGCGGCGUGCUUAACACAUGCCAGUCGAACGGAAAGGCCCUGCUUUUGUUGGGUGCUCGAUUGGCGAACGGGUGAGUAACACGUGAGUAACCUGCCCUUGACUUUGGGAUAACUUCAGGAAACUGGGGCUAAUACCGGAUAGGAGCUCCUGCUGCAUGGUGGGGGUUGGAAAGUUUCGGCGGUUGGGGAUGGACUCGCAGCUUAUCAGCUUGUUGGUGGGGUAGUGGCUUACCAAGGCUUUGACGGGUAGCCGGCAUGGGAGGGUGACCGGCGACAUGGGGACUACGAUACGGACCAGACUCCUACGGGAGGCAGCAGGGGGGAAUAUGGCACAAUGGGCGGAAGCCUGAUGCAGCAACGCCGCGUGCGGGAUGACGGCCUUCGGGUGAUAAACCGCUGUCUCCUGAGACGAAGCGUGAGUGACGGUAAUGGGUAAAGAAGCACCGGCUAACUACGUG
rnacentral:rRNA from 1 species